AUGGCGCUCAGGGCCUUGCUGUUGCUGGAAAUGGCUGCUGUUCUUGUCGGGAGCUCUGAUCUUCACCACGAGCAUCACUUCCUAGCUCCAGUGUCGAUCCCUCAGCCUGGUGGAACCAAUUCUUCACCUCACCUGCACAGGUUUUCUGUCUUCCACCAAUGGCCCUUGGGCCUUCAGGUCUCUGGUGACAAUGUGUGCACACCUGUCCUGAGUCCUCAGUCACAGCCACACCCGCAGAAGUGCUGUGAAGUCCCAAACCACACAGGUCUGUUACCAUCCAGCUUGUGGGUUCUCUUCUCAGCCCAGAAAGAAUUACAAGGUAAGAGAAUCAAGAGAGGACUGAGAAAAAGUAUUUAUUGUAUAGCAAGAGCAGACAGCAGCAUUUAUUGCAAAGAAAAAACAAACAGCUCCCAGGCAAAUGAACCCCGGAGGGGGCCCAAAAAGGGCUAAGGGACUCUUUUGUCUAGGGUCUUUACACAUGAAAACGACUACACUCUCAGCCAAGCUGAGAUCAACCUACAAGGUUACAGUGAGGAACAGGUGACGUACAUGUGGGCCUGUAGGAGCUCAGGCAAUGUAGUAGGCGCACAUUUGUAAGCACCAUUAAUUGUAACUAAACAGAACAAAGACAUUUUUUAGAGGGGUAAGAAUAUCUUAUUUCUGGGCAUGAAAAUCUCACCAAUUUAACGAGGCCUUUGUUUGCUGAGCCUCCAGGUGUCUGGCCUUGGUCAUCCACACAGCCUUCCCUGAGUUUUUUGGACACCUCUCUGGCUCGGCCUUCUCCUGGCUGCCUGUAACUCCUUCGCCAGGGCUCUGCUCGCAGCCUCCACAAACACAUAAACUGCCAGGCUCCGACCCCUCACUUUCUUAACGGAAUCAAUUUAAGGCCUUCAGCUGUGUCCUGGAAGUUGCAGUCUUCUUGUGGAGCACAGCCAUUAUGAUUUCUUUGUCUCCUUUCUACCUUUUAUUUUUUCUAUCCUACCUCAGGACUACAAAUUGCUUCAGUGUGUGGCAAUUUUGUAUAUCACACACACAUUUUUUUCUUUUCAUUGAGUUUAUUGGUACAUUCUAGGUAUACAGUACAGUUACAUUUAUUACUGGGAUCUUGUACCUUUAAUGACAGGUCUUGGUUCUCAUUUUUUCCCCUUGUUCCUGCCCUCCCUUCACCCCUUCCUCCCCUCCCCAUUUACUAACACUUUAUUUCCAUUUUUUCAUUUUCUCAUAUUUUUUAUUUUCCCUUAUUCCCUUGCCCCUACCCUUCCCACUUUCUCUACACCUUUAGCCCUUUUCUUCCUAUUUCACAUUGUUAAUUAUCUCAUUAUCACACACAUUUUUUAAACCAGAGUUCUCUCUUCUUUUGAAUGGUCUACGUACCAUAAUUUAAUCCACCAGUUCUAACUGAUGGGCCUGGAAAGUACCUGCAAUUCUCUUUUUCAAAUGGUCACAUUCUGGUUUCUGGAGGAUUGAGUCCUUAAAGUGAGACUGUUAGAUCACCAAGCUACCGAUAAGUGCUACCAAAAUUUUUUCUAAACAGUUGUGUCAGUUUAGACACAAUGACAAUUACUCAGCUGUGUGUGAGGGCAAUAGGACCUGACAAUCAGACCAACUGAAUUUUAGGUGAAAUUUUAUUUGCCCUAUCUGUAAAAUCCAAAGGUAUUACAGUCAACAUAAUACUGAAUGGUGAGAAGCCAUUAAGUCCACCCAUUAGAACUAAUCAAGUAAAUAAUUGAUGCGUUUUCACUACUAACUGUGAGGCCGGGGAUGUAGCUCAGCGGUUCGGUGGCCUGCCUUGCAAGCACAAGAACCCAAGUUCAAUCCCCGGUAGCCCCCCCAAAAAUAAAUACAAUAAAAUUCACUACUAACUCUGUGUGUGUGUGUGUGUGUGUGUGUGUGUGUGUGUGUGUGUGUUUAUGAGACAGGACCUCACUAAUUUGCUAAUUUGCCCAGGCUGGGAUCAAAUUUAUGAUUAUCCUGCCUCAGCUUCCCUGAAAGCUGGGAUUAGAAGUGUGUACCACUAUGCCUGGCAAUUAAUUUUAGAAAAACUUAUGUUGUUUUUAGGGAAACAACUUAGAUAUACUAAGUGUUAGAAAGCAG
ensembl:lincRNA